rnacentral:lncRNA from 1 species
UCUCUCCCUCUCCCCCUGCUUGUGCUCCCUCUCCUGCUGUCUCUCUCUCUCUGUCCAGUAAAUAAAAUAGAUCUUUAAAAAAAUUGGACCUGGGAAAUGGAGGGGCUGCUAUCAGCAACCAGGAACCCCGUCUUUGAUCGGGGCAUCAUCCGGUGAACUUCACGCAGCGGGUGCCUUGAACCUGAUCCCGAUGAAAGGAAGAUCUGCCUGCCACAUGCCCCGUUUCCACGCGGAGGGCUGUGGGGCUGCCAUGGAGGUGCACAUGUGCGUGUCUGAGAGUGCCAGGGCAGAAGCAGCUCUUUGACCAAAAGCCGUAUGUAUGAUGGACGCGGAGUCCGGGCCAGGUGGUGAGGAAAAGGCUAGCCGCCGCGCCAGGGGGGUCCGUCACCGGAGCAGAUGCUGCGGACGAAAGCAGAUAAGAGGAAGAGGAGAUUCCUGAGCUCCAGUUUAAAGGAUGAAAUAAAAAAGGAAGCGGCAUCCAGACAGACAAAGCACUGAGGUCGGAGGUAACCCCAUGGGCAAAGGUACGCGCUGGC